rnacentral:rRNA from 1 species
GACGAACGCUGGCGGCGUGCUUAACACAUGCAAGUCGAACGGUGAUGUCAGAGCUUGCUCUGGCGGAUCAGUGGCGAACGGGUGAGUAACACGUGAGUAACCUGCCCCCGACUCUGGGAUAACUGCUAGAAAUGGUAGCUAAUACCGGAUAUGACGACUGGCCGCAUGGUCUGGUCGUGGAAAGAAUUUCGGUUGGGAUGGACUCGCGGCCUAUCAGGUUGUUGGUGAGGUAAUGGCUCACCAAGCCUACGACGGGUAGCCGGCCUGAGAGGGUGACCGGCCACACUGGGACUGAGACACGGCCCAGACUCCUACGGGAGGCUG